GACGAACGCUGGCGGCGUGCUUAACACAUGCAAGUCGAACGGAAAGGCCCUGCUUUUGUGGGGUGCUCGAGUGGCGAACGGGUGAGUAAAACGUGAGUAACCUGCACUUGACUUAGGGAUAACUUCAGGAAACUGGGGCUAAUACCGGAUAGGAGCUCCUGCUGCAUGGUGGGGGUUGGAAAGUUUCGGCGGUUGGGGAUGGACUCGCGGCUUAUCAGCUUGUUGGUGGGGUAGUGGCUUACCAAGGCUUUGACGGGUAGCCGGCCUGAGAGGGUGACCGGCCACAUUGGGCCUGAGAUACGGCCCAGACUCCUACGUGAGGCAGCAGUGGGGAAUAUUGCACAAUGGGCGGAAGCCUGAUGCAGCAACGCCGCGUGCGUGAUGACGGCCUUCGGGUUGUAAACCGCUUUCGCCUGUGACGAAGCGUGAGUGACGGUACUGGGUAAAGAAGCACCGGCUAACUACGUG
rnacentral:rRNA from 1 species